AACAAACGCUGGCGGCGUGUCUUAAGCAUGCAAGUUGAGCGGCAAGGAGGAGAGAUCCUCCCUAGAGCAGCGGACUGGUGAGUAACGCGUGGGUAAUCUAUCUUAGGCAUGGGGAUAGUCACUAGAAAUAGUGGGUAAUACCGAAUAAGUUCCAUAAGGGGAGGACUUAUGGAAGAAAGGUGCUACGGCACUGGCCUUAGGUGAGCUCGCGUCCCAUUAGCUAGUUGGUGAGGUAAAGGCCCACCAAGGCGAUGAUGGGUAGCCGGCCUGAGAGGGUGUACGGCCACACUGGGACUGAGAUACGGCCCAGACUCCUACGGGAGGCAGCAGCUAAGAAUAUUCCGCAAUGGACGGAAGUCUGACGGAGCGACGCCGCGCGGAUGAAGAAGGCCGAAAGGUUGUAAAGUUCUUUUGCUAGGGGAGAAUAAGUGUGGGAGGGAAUGCCUGCACGAUGACAAGGACUAGCGAAUAAGUCCCGGCCAACUACGUG
rnacentral:rRNA from 1 species